GACGUAGUGCAGUUGGUUAGAGUGUGGUGCUGAUAAUGCCAAGGUUGCAGGUUCGAUCCCCGUCCGCAAUA